rnacentral:rRNA from 1 species
GAUGAACGCUGGCGGUGUGCUUAACACAUGCAAGUCGAACGGUGAAGGCGGAGCUUGCUCCGCUGGCUCAGUGGCGAACGGGGGCGUAACACGUGAGCAACCUGCUCCUCUCUUUGGGAUGAGCUCUGGAAACGGCGCCUACUACUAGACACCAUCUGCCAUGGCAUUUUCAGCAGCUGGUAAUCACUCCGGUCAGGGAUGAGCUCGCGGCUUAUCAGCUUGUUGGUGAGGUAACGGCUCACCAAGGCGUCGACGGGUAGCCGGCCUGAGAGGGUGACCGGCCACACUGGGACUGAGACACGGCCCAGACUCCUACGGGAGGCAGCAGUGGGGAAUAUUGCACAAUGGGCGAGAGCCUGAUGCAGCAACGCCGCGUGAGGGACGACGGCCUUCGGGUUGUAAACCUCUUUUAGCAGGGAAGAAGCGAAAGUGACGGUACCUGCAGAAAAAGCGCCGGCUAACUACGUG